rnacentral:rRNA from 1 species
ACUCUGACCCAGCGACGCCGCGUGCGGGAUGAAGGCCUUCGGGUUGUAAACCGCUUUCAGCAGGGAAGAAGCGAAAGUGACGGUACCUGCAGAAGAAGCACCGGCUAACUAUGUGCCAGCAGCCGCGGUAAUACGA